UGAUAUAGGACUCUGAGUCGUCUUCUUCAUCUUUGUUCCUCUGCUUCGUCUUCUCUCCUCCAUCUUCUUCCCCAACUACAAGUUUUGCAUUUUUUUUCCCAAUACAAUACAAAUCACUAUGUGCACAAUUUAGUAGUCCACCACGGCACCGAUAUUCUCGGCUUCAAAAACCUGUUACAUCGUGAACAAUACCUGCAACAACCAACACGAACAAGAAGAUUUACCAAGAAAAAAGCUUCAAACGAUACAAAAGGAUUGGUAUAAAUUACUAUGUAACAGCAAAAUUGAAGGUAUUUUAUUUUCGAGCUAUUCAAAUCUUUACUUUGAGAUAUCAAAAUUUCAAUUUUUCUCCCAAUUGUUGGUCAACACACCCGAUCUCGUUUGACCGGAUCCGACACAGAUCCCACACCCUUACUCGUGUCAGUGUCGUGUCGACACGGGUGCGGCACCGAAAUUGCCGAGUCCGAGCAACUUAGAUUCACCCUACCAAACGACCCCUAAGAGUUAAAGUCUCACUUGCCUCUAAAAUGACAACCUUCACUUGAAAUGCUCAAACUGCUCCUAUUGAUCUUCAAAGUCCUCUAUCUAUUAGCAUUGAUCGACAAUGUUCUUGAUGCCACACGUACUUACAUGAUGUUCUUAUUUCCCAUUCCUAAGAGUGUUAUUGAGGGACUGGAUGUUUUGAGAAGGAACUUCCUUUGGCAGGGUAACAGUGACAGUAAGAAGUUCCAUCUGGUUAAACGGGAGGCACUUAUAGGGAGCAAAAAGGCAAGGGGAUUGGGAAUAAGGAAUUUGAAAGAACAUAAUCAAAGCCUUUUGCUGAAAGGGCUUGGAGAUUCGCUUCUAAUGAAAAAUCCUUGUUGAAAGAGGAUAUAAGUUUGAAAUAUGAAAGGGAAAGUAACUUGACUACUAAGCUUGUAACAAGUAUCUAUGGAACUACUCUAUGGAACUCUAUCAGGGAUCAAUGACCAAAACUAAAAGGAAAUUGCAGAUUAAAGGUUGGAAAUGGCAUGAAGACUUCCUUUGGGAAGACAAUUGGAAAGAACAAGGUACCUUGAAAUUUUUAAUCCCAGAUAUAUACAUCAAAAUGCUACAGUGGAAGAGGUAUGGUCCAAUCAGGGGUGAAAUUUGAGGUUGAGAAGACUUCUAAAUGACUUGGGAGAUUCAGAGGUUAGCUGAUUUCUACAAGACAUUAGAGCAAUUCAAAGGACCAUCUGAUGUUGAAGACUGCCUAAUCUGGCAAAAUCACAAUCAAGGCAAGUUUUCUGUUAAGGAGGCAUAUAGGCAUUUUAACAUUUCCAGAAACCCGACUGAUCACUGGCUCUGAAAGUCUCUUCUUUUGUGUGGCUGCUAGCUAAACAGGUAGUUCUAACUCAGGAGAAUCUCAUGAAAAAAGGUAUUCAUCUUUGUCCAAGAUGCUUCUUAUGUGGUGAAGAAGUAAAGACUGUUAGGCACCUCUUCAUAAACCCAGAUUACUUAUCAGUUAUGGAGUUUAUUCAUCAAUAUCUAAGGGUUAUCUUGGAUUACGCCUGGGAGCAUUGUACAAGUCCUGGAAAUGUGGAAUAGUUAUGGAAACCUUUCUGGUCACAAAAAGAGAUGGAGAAUUCUACCGGCUUGCAUCUGUUGGUCGGUAUGGAGAGUAAGGAACCCUAGACGUUUUGAUAAAUGUAACUCAAUUUAGAAGGUAAAGAUGAACUGCCUUGCUUUAUUCGUUUUUUGGUUUAAACAAGAGUAUACGGAGGAUCUAGAAUCUUUUUUGGAUGUCUUAGGUUCUAUGAAAAAAAGAUUUUAUUUUGGAUGUCUUAGGUUCUAUAUACCACUAUGUGGGGUAUACUGGGUAUGUUGUUGUUGUUAGGUUCUAUAUAAGCUCUUAUAUAGGAUUGAAGAUCUUCUUGACACUCCGUUAUAACUAUGGAAACCUGUAACUCAUUGUGGCAGGCCUUAUUUUUGGAUAUAUAUACUAGUGUUACCUUUAUAAAAAAAGUCUUAUUCCACUCACCAAAACCCUCAUAUUACUCUAUUUCCAAAUAACUCACAUGAUUGCCAAAGGGGACAUACUACAAUCCUUGACUUCAUCUCUCCCUUAUUUGAGUCUAGCUUUGCAACUCUUCCUUCACUAUUUCUAGUAUUACCCAUUGUUUCCCGUACAGAUUAAAGAUCACCAGCUAUAAUUGUUUAACCACUCAACAAUGUAAUAGAAGAUAGUCUACAUCUCCACCUGAGCUUUUGUACAUAAAACACCAAUUGACACAGGUGAUCCUCUUCCUCAAAUUUUUCGUUGUCAAGAUACAUAAUAGGAAAAAAAAAGUUCCUCUCACCAGUAAGCUCUUGUAAAAAGAACUAUCAGUAAAGAAGCCGUUUUUGCUCUCCGCCCACAUCCAUACAUCCCUAGUAUUGUCAGGUGUGUCCAGACCAUAUAAUGUCUCAAUCAACUUGUGAAAUUCUCCGAUCUCCCAAUUCUGCAAGUUUUGUAGGUUUCUUUUGAAUCUUAAGUCCCAUGAAUUACCCCCUCAUGUGACGUACAAAUUUGUUGGACUAAAUCUAUCUUUAGCAAGACACAACAUAAAUGUUUGCGCAGGCUUCCUUCAACUCGUUCUCUCCGCAACUUAUGCGCCCAAAAACUAAUUUUGCUUCCAUAGCUAACCUUACAAGAUAUGUGUCCGUUUAAGUCAUCCCACCCUUUCAUAGUACUCCUCUAUACGUCACACCCAAAUAGAGUUGUGAUGUUUCAGGUUCUUCAUCCACCUUCCAUAACCCCACAUUUCUCCGAUAUCACCCUACUCGAAAAAACAUUCUUCUCCACUCAAAUCUCCCUAUCACGUCCCUAGCCAAGAUUUAUUAAGCACCUUAAUAUCUUUCACUCCGAACCCCAAGCCCCCUUCCUUUCUUGCACCAUCCGUUGUGUCCCAUAAAAAGUUUCUUUAGAGUCUUUUCAACCCUUCAGCCAUUUUUUUAGGAACUUUCAAAAGUGACAUGAAAUAUGUAGGUAUACUAGAAAGUGUGCUUUUGAUCACUACUUCCUUCCCCCAUUUCGACAAGUACCUCUUUGGCCAUCCGGCUAACUGCUUCUUUACUCUCUCAAUCACUGGAUUCCACAUUGCAAGAUCUUUGUUUGAAGCACCUUACAGUAAUUUCAAAUAGAUAGAUAGUCCGCAAAGUACCCACCUUACAAUCCUAUGCAAUCUCUUCAAUAUAUCCACUUCUUCCAUUAAUGUGAUCUCACAUUUUCUGUGAGUAAUCUUAAGGCCUGACACAAUCUAGAAUUAGAUAAGAAUCUGUCUUAAAUGAUCUAGCCAAGUCAUCUCUGCAUCACAAAAGACCAAGGUCUCAUUUGGAAAUAAAAAACGCGUGACUGUCACAUCACAAUGCCCCCUAAACUAAGCAUCAAACCCUUCAAUAGACUUGUAUGUACUGCCUUCAAUGGAUCUCCCAGAUUCUCAAAGAAGCUUCCCAGGACAGAUGGAAGACUAUAGACAAAGAGUAGGAGUUUUAUGAUACUAGAAAGUACAAUGUACACGGGAGGUAUAUGAGCUUUGUGUCUCUCACAGGAGAAUUCAGAGAAGUAAUUAUAGUCCCCGAGAUAGCCAUAAAUGCGGGAUGGAGUGAUAUCGCCCUUAAGAUUGACAACUUCAUUAAUAACUCUAUGCAACAGAGGUUUAAACAACCUCCAAAACAAACUAUUCCGUACGCCAAGGUGGUUGAACGCAGUAAAUGGCAACAACAGCACCCCAAGGUCAGCCAACUUGAUGGGAAGGGCCUACUAGGGAGAAGAAGUAUUAUUGGGUUCUUUGAAAGAUCUGAGACCCCUACACCAGCAGAUGUUAAAAGGUGGGCUACAUUAACCUGGAAAAAAGCCUUUGGGGUUAACGUUUAUGAAAUGACAGGACAUUUGUUCCUCUUUGAAUUCCCUAAUAGGCAUAUAGCUGAGCAGUAUUGCAAGGAGAAUGGGUUUAGAGAAACAAUAAGGCCCAACUAGAGUAGUGGAAUCCUCUAGUUGGGUGUGCGCCUUCUCAGCAAAGUCAAAAUUCAACAUGGACUAUAGCAAUGGGUCUUCCUUUGCACUUACAGAACAAAGACAUCUUCCAAGGGAUAGGUGAUAAGUGUGGAGGUUGGAAAAGAACAAAAGAGGAAACAAAGCUAAGGAAUCAUCUCAAAUAGGCUCGAAUUGAAAUCAAAGGUGACGGUAGUAAAAUACCCAAGGAGGUCUACAUAUCAAAAGAGGAAUACAACUUCAGAAUCCCGAUAUGGUUAGAGAAACCGACGACCUCCAAGAUUGAUCAAGACAUAGAACCGACGAGCUCACAUACAGUCAUGGCAGAAACGGUGAGGACAAGUGAAACUCUAGAAAUGGGCUUUGCACAAAGGUCUCUCCAGUGUUUUAUGAAGUCGUUGGAUAAUAACCUGAGGAAAAAAGCUUCAUUUGAAGUCAUUAAAAAUAUUGCAAAGCUGGCAGCUGUUGACUGGACAAAUCACGUGGACAUCAGUGAUUUUUCAAAAAAUAAAUCACGUGAUGGGCAUGUGAUUUCAUUAAACCUGGAAGAGGUGCAGUUGGGCCGACCUAACUCUGGGCUUAUCCAGAAGACUUCUGAAUUAAAUAACAAUUUGGCCCAAUCCAAUUUAGAGAUACAAAGCGUAAUUGGCAAAAGAACAGAGGAUCUCCAAACCAUCGAUGUAUCCUCAGAUAUAUCAGAAGACAUAAAAGGUCUGAACGACAUAGAGAUGAGCCAUGAAGAGACGGAUGGAGAAGCAAGACUGGAAGACAUAAAAAGGGUGGAUAAUUGCAAGGAAAAACAAAUUGCAAUCAGUAAUUCAAGCAAUUCAAGCAUGGGUGGAGAUAUUUGGGAGGUGGAGGAUGCUAUUCCAAUUACAAUAGAAUCAACGUCACAAAUCUUUGAGAAUGGGAAGGUCAUAUCAACUUGGGUGCGUCAGAAUAUCAUCAAGCUUGGCAAGAUGUUUGGAGCUGAUUUUAAAGGUAAUGAAGAGGAAACACUGAACUACUAAUGCAAAUAAACGCAUUCAAAUAGUUCAGAAAGUUGGAAUCAUCUUCAGAUAUCAAAAAGACCAGAUUCAAAGGAUCUAAUGAACUGAAACCUAAUCUCUUUAUGUUAAGUUCAAAAACAGUGAGGGUAGGAGCAAGGGGAAAGGGUGCAAACAGACUGAGAUAUAAAGCUCAAUCUAGUGUCGUGGAAUGUUAGGGGAUUAAAUGAUAGGGGAAGAGGAGGGUAGUGAAGAAUUGCAUAGAAAAGUGGAGGCCUGAUAUUAUUUGUCCACAAGAAACGAAGUUACAAGGAAACAUCCAAGAGUUAAUAAGACAAUUUUCUUUUUUUUUUAAGGGGGGGGGGGGGGGGGCUUUUUUUUUUUUUGGGGGGGGGGGGGGGGGGUAGAUGGUUCAAAUACUUAUGUCAAGAAGCAAGUGGAAUAAGAGAAGGGAUUACAAUGUUAUGGGAUAGUAGAGUUUGGAAGGGGGAGAUACUUGAAAUGGGGUUUCACACCUUAAUAUGCAGAUUUGAAGCAUUGCUCCAGAAUUUCAAUUAUCAUGUAACAGGGGUUUACGGACCAAAUUGCAAGUUAGAAAGAAGAGAAGUUUGGGAUGAAUUAGGGGAUGUUAAAGGUUUGAUAGAGGGUCCAUAGGUUCCCUUCAGAGAAAAUCCACUGCCAUGUUAGAAUUUUCAGACAUACUGAAGGAUCUAGAUCUGAUUGAUUUGCCACUUGAGGGGGGAAACUUCACUUGGUUCAAAGGAGACAUUCAUACUACAGCUUCCAGGAUAGACAGAAUCUUGUUUACUUCAGAAUGAAGUGAACAAUUCAGCAAGGUGAAGCAGACUGCUUUUCAGAGACUGAUAUCUGAUCAUGUUCCCCUAGCUCUACAAUGUGCUCCUUGGGAUCAAAACAAGUCAUAUUUCAAGUUCGAAAAAUUGGUGGCUAAAUACAGAAGGCUUCACAAAUAGAGUUAGUUCAUGGUGGAAUUCCUUCGCAUUCCAUGGGAAACCAAAUUAUAUACUAGUUUGCAAGCUUAAAGAUCUGAAAGAAAAACUUAAGGAAUGGAACAAAGAAGAGAGGUGAUUUGCAGAUCCAAAGAACCAACUUGCUUAAUAAAAUGGCACAUAUGGAUUCAUUAAUGGAGAAUAGAGCUCUAACAGAAGAUGAGGCAGCUUUGAAGACAACAACUUUUAUGGAGUAUGAAGAAUUAAUCAAAAAUGAAGAAAUAGCAUGGAGACAAUGGUCGAGAAUUUUAUGGUUGAAAGAAGGUGACAACAAUACUAAUUUUUUCCAUAUUUCUGCCAAUGCUCACAAAAGAAGCAAUUGCAUUGGCCAAUUAGAAGUCUAAGGGGAAUUAGUGAAGGAACCAGGCAGAGUUAAGGAGGAAAUAAUUCAGUUUUACUAGAAUUUGUACACUAGGCCAGAAAGGUGGAGACCAACAGGGAACAUGACAAACUGUCCAAAGAUUUCAGAAGUAGAAAAUAUACAAUUACAAGCUAAUUUGAGGAACAUGAGGUACAUAGUUGUUUGAAAAAAUGUGCUGCAGAUAAGGCCCUAAGGCUCCUGACCCAUGGUUACACCAUGGGAUUCUACAUCAAAUGCCAGGAUGUAAUAAAAAAUGACAUCAUGGAUGCCUUCCACAAUUUCUAUCAACAAGAAAUGUUUGGAGAUGGGUGCUCUUCCUUCUAUAUAUUUAGAGAUGCCAUUGGGGGCUAAAUCAAGAUCCGAAGAAAUCUGGGAGAAUGUCUUGGAGAAAUAUGAAAGAAAGUUGUCUAGAUGGAAAGCUCAAUAUCUAUCUUUGGGAGGCAGACUUACUUUGAUCAAUGUUGUUCUUAAUGCCCUCCUAACCUAUAUGAUGAUCUUAUUCUCCAUCCCAACAAGUGUGGUACAAAGGUUGGAUAAAAUCAGGGGAAGGUAACAAAAUCAGGGAAGGGUUUCACCUAGUGAAGUGGAAAGUUCUCAUAACCAGUAAAAAACAAGGAGGCCUGGGUAUCAAGAACUUGAAGAAUCAAUGUAAAGCACUGAAAAUGAAGUGGUUGUGGAGAUAUGCUCAAGAGUCACAAACUCUAUGGAAUAGGGUAAUCGGGCUGAAGUAUGGGGAUAUGAAUGGUUGGGUUACCAAAGAAGCAACCAAUCCUUAUAGUGUAACUGUUUGGAGGUCCAUCAGGAAUUAGUGGACUAUAAUGCAAAACCAUGUCGCCAUCAAAGUCUUUGAUGGUAACAAAACUGUCUUCUAGAAGGACCGGUGGUUAGGCAAUAAGAGUCUUACAGAGAUGUUCCCAGACUUGUUUGCUCUUGCUCAACAACAAGACAAAACUAUGGCUGAUAUGUGGUCUCCACAAGGUUAGGAUUUAAGCCUCAGACGAGACGAAACUUGAAUGAUUGGGAAAUCCCAAGAAUGGUGGAACUCCUUAAAGUUGUUGAAUCAUUUGAAGGUUUUAAAGAUUGAAAGGACAAACUUUGGUGGAAUAGACAUUACAAAGGGAUUUACGAGGUCAACUCUGGAUACAAGCUACUAAAUAAAACAACGCCACAAGCUAGCAGGUGGUCAUGGAAACAAAGCUGGAAAACCAAUACCCUCCUGAAGGUUGCGUGCUUCUCAUGGUUGUUAGCGAAGGAAGUUGUUUUAACACAUGAAAAUUUGAGGAAGAGGAAUAUAAUUUUAGUCACUCAUUGCUGUCUAUGUGGAGAGGCAGUUGAGACAGUGGGACAUUUAUUUUUGCAUUGCAAAUUCACUAGCCAACUAUGGAAGAUUUUCAUCAAUCUCAGAGGUAUACAAUGGGUAAUGCCUAGCAAGAUUGUUGACACUCUAUCUAGUUGGGAGGAAGCUGGGAAAGGAGCAAAGAACUUGAACUAUUGGAGAACUAUCCCAUCUUGUAUUUGGUGGACUGUUUGGAAGAAGAGAAAUGCUAGAAGUUUUGAAGACAAUGUAGAACACUUCAGAAGAUUAAGACAUACUGUAUUUUGCUUUUGAAUUUUUGGUGCACAAAGAACUCCCCUGUAGAGGUUGAAGAUAUCCUAGAAGUUUUAGAAUCUUGCUAGGAUGGGGAGCCUUUUCUUUUUUAUUUUUCUAUCUUCUUUUAGCUAGAUGCUCACUCUGUAAAGGGGUUUUAUGCACUACCUAAGUGCUGGUUUAUAAUACAAAUGUUACCUUCUCAAAAAUUAAAAGAAACAAUGUUGUAAGAGAACUAAAAUGAAUCUGUAUGGCCUCAGAGCCUUGUCUCCCACGCAAGGCAGAACUCACCACGACUUCCCUCACCUCUUCUUCUAUUUCCUUUCCAACUACUCCCUCAUCCCCUUCCUUAUUCGACUAAAUACCAACCCUCCCAUUUUUGUCCUCCAAGUAGUAUCUUCCUUGAAUGUUCAUAAAACCCCACAAUAGCCUUCUUUACUUCCUCCUCCCCUUAAAUACCUCUAUUUACUUCCAUGGGCUCAAUGAAGUUCCUCUUACUAUUUGGUACCACAACUUUAUGAAAUUUUUUGUAUUAGAAUCUCCCUCUUUUAGCCACAAUGUCCUCGAUUUUUGCCUCCAAGUAAUCUUUUGAGCAACCACUAAAUUGGCUAGCUCCCUUUUCACCUAAUCUUGAAGAGAAAUGUUAGAGUGGGUGAAAGUCCCAUAUUGGUUGGGGAAUGGACCAGUGGUCUGCUUAUAUGGACUUGGGCAAUCAUCCCCUUAUGAGCUAGGCUUUGGGGUUGAGUUAGGCCCAGGUGUCAUAUCCUUACAAUGGUAUCAGUGUCAAGUCCAUCCUUGUUUGGGCUCUCCGUCCAUGCUCUAGUUAAGGCAUGGGCCUGAAGGGGAUGUUUCAACUAUGGUAACUAAAUAUUCAAAUCCCUACAAAUAAGCUAUGUUAUCUAUAUACAUUAUUAUACAGAAACCAUACUUAUACUGAUGUGUGACUUAUUUUUAUUAUCUAGUAAAGUCACCAUUCGGUCAACUGGUUUAGAAUUUAAUAAAUAUUAUGUUCCCACAAAGCCACCACUCAAGAUUCCAAAUCCAUAAUCAAAAUCUUAUUUUCAUUGGAAAUUGAUGGUCAAUUGACCAUUUUCUCAAAUUCAGGCCUACAGCAAAAAACCCAUCAUCCUGUGAUUUUUUGUGUUAGAUUCAUCGCUGAAACAAUUUGUAGUGAUUAGAAAAGGUGUGUAACGAUAUGUUAAUGUUUCUCCUUGAUCCCCAAUGUUACCUUUUCCCCACAAGAUAUAUGCUCUCCACAUCUCCAAAUAUAAUUAAGAGUUUGCACUAGAUUUUCUUAUACAAACAACUGGGAUGAAUCUGGUAUCUUUAUAAUUGUUGCACCAAAGAAACGGUACACUUAAUUAUUUCACUGUUAAUUGUCUGAGACAUAUCUAACAGACUCAAAAUUGGAGAAAGUAGAAACUAGUUUCUACAAGUCACAAGUAAUGAUACAGACCUAACCAUGCGGGCAAGUUACCAUUGGUACCGCAUAUGCACAAAAUGAGGGGUCGGUUUCUUUAAUCUUUUUUUCUUUAAAUGCUAUUUAUGUGGAAAAGACCGUUUCGAAUUUUUUAUGCAGUUGAACAGAGAAAACUUUUACGGGUAGGGUAACCAACCGCUUAAUUUAAGUAGGUUGUGCUAUAGGUAAAUAUAUUUAUGUGAUAAAUCCUCAAAGCUUUUAAAGCCAGGAAAGUGAGCUUAAUUAUCAAUCUCAAGUUUUAAGGAUAAUUAACUGUCGACUCCAUGAAUCUAAAGGAUGCUGUGGAAUUUUCUAUUGAUGUGAUGUAAACAAAAGUGCUGCAGCAAAUUCAUCGUGCAAUCGUUCUUCAUGCCUUCUAGCAAUUAAAAGUCACAUAUCAUUGGAGACUUCCACGUAUGAAUUUUUGAUGACAUUGUUUUUUUUCUUUUUGUAUGAAUUAAGUAGGCAAUCAUGGAAGAAAUCUAGGAACAAGAAAUUAAAUUUUUACCCUUGUGGAGACACUAAAAUUUAUAAGCUGCACCUGCUGUCAUGCCUGAUAGAUCUCAGCGUGGAUUUUUAACUUAUUGUGAUUGAAAUAUUAAUUUCUUAUUAAUAUGUUUUUAGGAACAACAAAGUUGAAAGAAUUACACGGGACAGCUUGUAUUAGUGCAUUAUCUGGGACAUGGGGAGAUGAUCCUAAUGGAGAAGUAUAUCAUGUGUAUAAAAUGAACUUCCCUUGCAACAUCGAGGAAGUGAAAUAUUCCAGUUUUAUCCUUUUGCUUCAAUCAGAACUAGAUUACGAUGUGGGAAAUGUGGAAGUGGAGCUCUUCUUAGUUUCCAAGUUUGUCAAAUCUUCUGUGACGCAUUGUGGGAAAGUACAUUUGGAUGCCCAACAGGUUGAAACCGAGUGAAACUAUUUUUAAGUAUUUUUAUAAUUCACUUAUGUUAGCAUUUGCAUUUCAUAUCUGAUAAGCAGUAAAACAUUCAGGUUGCUAAAGCAAAAACAUUCCAAGAACUAUUCUUUAAUGGGUUGUUUGGUAAAUUAUUUAUUAAAUCAUUGGAUGGAAGGAAAUUUCUGCUUGAUACAAAAGAAUCUUUGUGGAAGCCAUCCAACAUGUACUUGCUUCUACCGCUGGAUCCUGUAGAUUCAAGUUGUGAACCCUACAGAGUUGAUUGGGGAGGAAUUGAAUCUUCCGUUUCAGUUGUGGAAUUUUUGAAAAAUAAUGCAUGGUUAAGCGCUGAGAAAUCUGAAACUAAACGGAAGAACUCCUUAGUUGACAGAACUGCAUCAUUUGUGGGAGAUCUUGAUCAAACAGAUCUGAUUCACUUCGCCAAUAUAUCAAUCUCAAGAAGCAGGCUUAAGGACAUGGUUGUUGUGGCCAUUCAUACUGGAAGAAUAUAUUCUGUUCUGGAAGCUGUUGCCAAUACUUCCUCAGAGAGCCCCUUUGAAGUAGAUUCGGAAGCUACUGUAUCGCCCUUUUCAUCAUUUGCUGACUACUUCCAUAAACAGUGGGAAUUUUUACCCAAGUUACUGUUUCUUAUUUAAUGCUUGAAAGUCCAGCAUAAGUUAAAUUUGUUAUGUUUUCUCUGUUGAUUAGGUAUGGGAUUGUUUUAGUGUAUCCUGGACAGCCUAUGCUGCUACUGAAGCAAAGCCAUAACGCAUACAAUCUUCUUGUGGAUUUUAAAAAGGAAGGUUUGUCAAGUUAUUGCCGAUUUUUAAUUAUUCCAAGUGUUACCCUAUAUACCAUCUCUUUUGGAAAUUUAUAACAUUUUUAGAAGUUUAAGACUCACUAGCAUGUGUUAAAGUUGCUAACCUUCAGGUGGUUUUGUUAUUGUAAACGACGAAAGGAAGUAGCAAACAAAAUUAUAGUAUAUUAGCUUUAAUGUGCCACAAAGGUUGGUGUACGAUCUGUGUACAUCUUACCAUCCUUAGACCUCAGUUGUGGGAUUAUAGGGGGUUUGUUGUUGUUGCAUCUAAGUAGUAAGCGCACCCCAAGAUGAAUUCUCUCGUAUUCCAACUUCCCCAGAGCUUCCGGUAGCACAACCUUUGUGCCAUUUAAGUUUUUUUACGUGUUACUAUUGUUAGUUCUUAAAAUAUGUUCUCUACAUAUCCGCAUUUAAAAUGGAGUGAUUCAUAUCUUUACCCCUAAUUAGGUUCUAAACAAGUUUGUGAUAGGUCAGUGAGUAUGGAAUUGGUCGACAAAAUUGUUCUACAUAUAUCCAGUGUACUAAUACUUGUGUCAACUCUUUUGGAAGAAAAAACGUUGUUUGGCAAGUGUAUAGUGCCUUUAGGCAUAAGUAGGUGUGAUAGCAAGUUGCUGAUUGUCCCAAUGAGAGGAUCAUAGGAUGGUCUUUGGAGCACAUUAAACUCCACUCACACGUUAUCUGCAAAUAGGCUAAUUGAUUUCAACAACUGCAAAAAGACAUUAGGAUGCAUCCUAAUAAAUUCGAAGAUGAAGAGAAUAGAGUUUGGGAAUUAGUGUCUUGAUUAUUCCCUCAAGGUAGUGGGAUUAAAUAGUGUCACAGAGAAUGCAAUAAGGAAGGAAACUAAUGCGAAUAUUACACAAUAUUCGAUGUGCCUAAUUAUGGGGAUUUGGGAUAUUCCCAUAUCUACGUUAUCUAAUUAUUGAGAUAUUCUCAUAUCUACAUUAUCUCACAAUAAUAUCAUAUUUAAAAUGCCCCCUCAAGAUGGAGCUUAUAAGUCAUAUGCUCCUAGCUUGCCACAAGUAUAGUCAAUUCUAGAUCUUCAGAAUGAUUGUGUUAUAUCUGCCGGUUGAUCUUUCGAGUUGACAAAACUUGUAGAGCUAUAUCCAAACACAAUCUUCUCUCGAAUGAAGUGACAAUCUAUCUCAAUGUGCUUCGUUUUUUCAUGAAACACGACAUUAGAAGCGAUAUGUAGUACAACUUGGUUAUCAGAAAUCAAUUUCAUCAGUUCAACUCCUCCCAUCUUCAAUUCUUGGAGAAGGUUGCCUCAACCAUAAAAGCUCACAUGUAGCCAAUGGCAUAGUUCGGUACUCCGCCUCUGCGCUUGAUCUAGCCAUGACAUCUUGCUUUUUACUUUUCCAAGAUAUUAGAUUACCUCCGAUUUAAACACAAUAACUUAAAGUGGAUCUCAUAUUAGAAGGAGUCCCAGCCCAAUCUGUAUCAGAAUAGCCAACAACAAUAUGGGUGUGUCCCUUGUCUUCAUACAAUUAACCUUGUCCUAGAAAGCUUUUGAUAUAUCUCAGAAUGCAAAUCACCGCAUUCCAGUGACUAUCACAAGGUGAUUGUAGAAAUUGCUAACUACACUAACAACAAAUGAGAUGUCUGGUUGUGUGAUCGUAAGGUAGUUGAGUUUGCCAACAAGUCUCCGAUAUCUACUAGGAUCUUUUAGAGGCUCCCCCUAUCUUGGAAUAAGCUUAGCAUUUGAAUCCAUGGGAGAGUCCACAUGUUUGCAAUCCAACGUACCAUUGUUUUCCAAAAUGUCUAAGGUAUAUUUUCUUUGUGUAAUAGCAAUACUAUUGCUAGACUGUGCCACUUCAAUGCCUAGAAAGUAUUUCAGCUUGCACAAAUCCUUAGUCUGAAAGUGACUUGGUUGUUUGAGUCGAAAAAUACUCACUUGUGAUAACAAUAUCAUCAACAUAAACAAUUAAAAAGAUACGUUUUCCAUGAGAUGAAUGCCUAUAAAAUAUGAAAUGAUCAACUUUUAUUCGUAUCAUUCAAAACUCUUGAACAACUCGAAACGACCAAGCCAUGCUCUAGGAGAUUGCUUGAGACCAUAAAGGGAUCGGUGAAGUCUACAUACUAGUCCAGACUCCCCCCGAGCAACAAAUCCUGAUGGUUGCUUCAUAUAAACCUCCUCAGCAAGUUCUCUGUGUAGGAAUGCAUUUUUAUUGUUGAGCCGAAAAAAGGUCAAUGUUUCAUUAUUGCCAUAGAUACGAGAAGUCGAAUAGAAGGCGACAACUGGUAAGAAAGUAUUUCCAUAGUCAAUGCCAUAAAUCUGAGUGUAUCCUUUAGCAACCGGUCUCGUUUUGAGAUGAUUAAUAGCUCCAUCUGAACCUACCUUAUAUGUGAAUAUCCAACAACAACCAAUAGAGGUUUUGCCUUUCGGUAAAAAAAAAAACAAGAUCCCAAGUACCAUUGUCAUGCAAAACAAUCAUUUCUUCAAUCAUAGCCUUACGCCAACCUGGACAAACCAAUGCUUAUGCCAUAACUUUUAGGAACUUUGAUAGUGGAUAAGUUAGUAAUGAAGGCAUGAUAUGAAUGUGACAAACGGCGAUAACUUAAAUAGGUGUAAAUGAGAUCUUGAUUGGAUGUAGUUCUAAGUAUAACUUAAAUAAGUGUAAAUGAGAGCUUGAUUGGAGGUAGUUCUAAGUACCUUUGCAAAGAGCAAUGGGAAGAUCAUCUAAUGUGUGCUUGGCCG
rnacentral:lncRNA from 1 species